rnacentral:tRNA from 1 species
GGGGGAGUGGCGGAAUUGGCAGACGCGCAUGAUUUAGGAUCAUGUGGGCAUGGCCCGUGGGAGUUCGAGUCUCCCCUUCCCCA